GGCUGGUCUGAGUGCAGUAGUGUUUCCAACUAAUUAAUCACAACCAGUUACAUAUUUCUUGUUCCUUUUCUGCUCCUACUGCUUCACUUGACUAGCCAAAA
rnacentral:Y_RNA from 1 species